UAGGGAAUAUUGGGCAAUGGGCGGAAGCCUGACCCAGCCACGCCGCGUGCAGGAAGACGGCCCUCUGGGUUGUAAACUGCUUUUAACUGGGAAGAAAAGAGGCUUUGCGAAGCAAGUUGACGGUACCAGUUGAAUAAGCCACGGCUAACUACGUGCCAGCAGCCGCGGUAAUACGUAGGUGGCGAGCGUUAUCCGGAUUUAUUGGGUUUAAAGGGAGCGUAGGCGGCUGAUUAAGUCAGCGGUGAAAGGUAGCAGCUUAACUGUUUUACAUGCCGUUGAUACUGGUUAGCUUGAGUUGACAGAAGGCAGAUAGAAUUCCUGAUGUAGCGGUGAAAUGCUUAGAUAUCAGGAGGAAUACCGAUUGCGAAGGCAGUCUGCUGCAGUCACACUGACGCUGAGGCUCGAAGGUGCGGGGAUCAAACAGGAUUAGAUACCCUGGUAGUCCGCACAGUAAACGAUGAUUACUAGAUGUUGGCCAAGCCAGUGUCCAAGGGAAACCGAUAAGUAAUCCACCUGGGGAGUACGCCGGCAACGGUG
rnacentral:rRNA from 1 species